CCCCUAGACGUUCUGGGCUGCACGCGCGCUACAAUAAUACGCACAGCGAGUAUCACCGAGCUCGAAAGGGCAAGGUAAACAAUAGAAAAGGUACUGUAAUGGUUAUAGAUCCUUGUAAUUAUUGAUCUUCAACGAGGAAUUCCUAGUAAGUAUGUGUCAUCAUCACGCACUGAUUACGUCCCUGCCCUUUGUACACACCGCCCGUCGCUCCUACCGAUUGGGUGAGCCGAUGAAACGCUCGGAUGUAGGCUAUUCAUAGCCCGCAGAAGAGAUUUGAAUCGUAGCGCUUAGAGGAAGGAGAAGUCGUAACA
rnacentral:rRNA from 1 species